AAUCAACGCUGGCGGCGUGCCUAACACAUGCAAGUCGUGCGCGAAAGGGGCUUCGGCCCUGAGUAGAGCGGCAAACGGGUGAGUAACACGUGGGUGACCUGCCUUCGAGUGGGGGAUAACGUCCCGAAAGGGACGCUAAUACCGCAUGACAUCCUGCCUUUGGAGAGGCGGAGAUCAAAGCCGGGGAUCGCAAGACCUGGCGCUUGAAGAGGGGCCCGCGCCUGAUUAGCUAGUUGGUGAGGUAAUGGCUCACCAAGGCGACGAUCAGUAGCCGGCCUGAGAGGGCGGACGGCCACACUGGGACUGAGACACGGCCCAGACUCCUACGGGAGGCAGCAGUGGGGAAUUGUUCGCAAUGGGCGCAAGCCUGACGACGCAACGCCGCGUGGAGGACGAAGAUCUUCGGGUCGUAAACUCCUGUCGAGCGGGAAAAAUACCACUCUGGUGAAUAACCGGAGAGGUUGAUGGUACCGCUAAAGGAAGCCCCGGCUAACUCCGUGCCAGCAGCCGCGGUAAUACGGGGGGGGCAAGCGUUGUUCGGAAUUACUGGGCGUAAAGGGCUCGUAGGCGGCCAACUAAGUCAGACGUGAAAUCCCCAGGCUCAACUUGGGAACUGCGUCUGAUACUGGAUGGCUUGAAUUCGGGAGAGGGAUGCAGAAUUCCAGGUGUAGCGGUGAAAUGCGUAGAUAUCUGGAGGAAUACCGGUGGCGAAGGCGGCAUCCUGGACCGACAUUGACGCUGAGGAGCGAAAGCUAGGGGAGCAAACGGGAUUAGAUACCCCGGUAGUCCUAGCCCUAAACGAUGAAUGCUUGGUGUGACGGGUAUCGAUCCCUGUCGUGCCGAAGCUAACGCAUUAAGCAUUCCGCCUGGGGAGUACGGUCCAAGGCUGAAACUCAAAGGAAUUGACGGGGGCCCGCCAAACCGGUGGAA
rnacentral:rRNA from 1 species